rnacentral:rRNA from 1 species
UAACCCCUCAAGCUCAGCUUGGUGUUGGGGCCUGCCGACUGGCAGCCCUUAAAAUCAGUGGCGGCGCCAUCUGGCUCUAAGCGUAGUAAUUUCUCUCGCUAUAGGGUCCCGGUGGACGCUGGCCAGCAACCCCCA